AUAAUGCAGUCGAGCGGACAGAAGGGAGCUUGCUCCCGGAUGUUAGCGGCGGACGGGUGAGUAACACGUGGGUAACCUGCCUGUAAGACUGGGAUAACUCCGGGAAACCGGAGCUAAUACCGGAUAGUUCCUUGAACCGCAUGGUUCAAGGAUGAAAGACGGUUUCGGCUGUCACUUACAGAUGGACCCGCGGCGCAUUAGCUAGUUGGUGAGGUAACGGCUCACCAAGGCGACGAUGCGUAGCCGACCUGAGAGGGUGAUCGGCCACACUGGGACUGAGACACGGCCCAGACUCCUACGGGAGGCAGCAGUAGGGAAUCUUCCGCAAUGGACGAAAGUCUGACGGAGCAACGCCGCGUGAGUGAUGAAGGUUUUCGGAUCGUAAAGCUCUGUUGUUAGGGAAGAACAAGUGCAAGAGUAACUGCUUGCACCUUGACGGUACCUAACCAGAAAGCCACGGCUAACUACGUGCCAGCAGCCGCGGUAAUACGUAGGUGGCAAGCGUUGUCCGGAAUUAUUGGGCGUAAAGGGCUCGCAGGCGGUUUCUUAAGUCUGAUGUGAAAGCCCCCGGCUCACCCGGGGAGGGUCAUUGGAAACUGGGAAACUUGAGUGCAGAAGAGGAGAGUGGAAUUCCACGUGUAGCGGUGAAAUGCGUAGAGAUGUGGAAGGAACACCAGUGGCGAAAGCGACUCCCUUUGGUCCUGUAACUGACGCUUAAGGAGCCGAAAGCGUUGGGGGAAGCGAAACAGGAAUAAAAUACCCUGGUAGUCCACCGCCGUAAACGAUGAGUGCUAAUGUUUAAGGGGGUUUCCGGCCCUUAAUGGCUGCAGCUACGCAUAGCACUCGCCUGGGGGAGUA
rnacentral:rRNA from 1 species